rnacentral:rRNA from 1 species
UACGUAGGGUCCAAGCGUUGUCCGGAUUUAUUGGGCGUAAAGAGCUCGUAGGCGGCUCAGUAAGUCGGAUGUGAAAACUCGGGGCUCAACCCCGAGACGCCAUCCGAUACUGCUGUGGCUUGAGUCUGGUAGGGGAGCACGGAAUUCCUGGUGUAGCGGUGAAAUGCGCAGAUAUCAGGAGGAACACCGGUGGCGAAGGCGGCUACCUGGACAGAAACUGACGCUGAAGCACGAAAGCUAGGGGAGCAAACAGG